CAGUAGCCGCGGGAACACGGAGGGGGCUAGCGUUGUUCGGAAUUACUGGGCGUAAAGCGCACGUAGGCGGCUUUACAAGUCAGAGGUGAAAGCCUGGAGCUCAACUCCAGAAUUGCCUUUGAGACUGUAUCGCUUGAACACGGGAGAGGUGAGUGGAAUUCCGAGUGUAGAGGUGAAAUUCGUAGAUAUUCGGAAGAACACCAGUGGCGAAGGCGGCUCACUGGACCGUUGUUGACGCUGAGGUGCGAAAGCGUGGGGAGCAAACAGGAUUAGAUACCCCCGUAGUCCCUGUCUCUUAUAC
rnacentral:rRNA from 1 species